UCUGGUGUGACGCAGUGGUAGCGUGUUGCUCUUAUACAUUCUUCUGCAAUGAAGACCGUAUGAUAAGAAAUGCAAAAGCCGUGAGUUCGAUCCUCACCUCCAGAA